GCAUCAGUAACGGCGAGUGAGCGGCAACAGCUCAAAUUUGAAACCUGCCAACCGGCCGGAUUGUAAUUUGCAGAGGAUGCUUUGGGAAAGGUACUGAUCUAAGUUUCUUGGAACAGAACGUCACAGAGGGUGAGAAUCCCGUCCGUGGUCGGCCGCCUGCCCCGUGUAAAGCUCCUUCGACGAGUCGAGUUGUUUGGGAAUGCAGCUCUAAAUGGGUGGUAAAUUUCAUCUAAAGCUAAAUAUUGGCCAGAGACCGAUAGCGCACAAGUAGAGUGAUCGAAAGAUGAAAAGCACUUUGGAAAGAGAGUUAAACAGCACGUGAAAUUGUUGAAAGGGAAGCGCUUGCAAUCAGACUUGGGCGCGGGUACUCAGGGACGGUUCGCCGUUCUGUAUUUGCCCGCGCACAGGCCAGCAUCAGUUUUGGGGGUGGGAUAAAGGCCGUAGGAAUGUGGCUCUUCGGAGUGUUAUAGCCUACGGUGCCAUGCCACCUCCCGGGACUGAGGACCGCGCUUCGGCUAGGAUGCUGGCGUAAUGAUUGUAAGCGACCCGUCUUGAAACACGGACCAAGGAGUCUAACAUCUAUGCGAGUGUUUGGGUGUCAAACCCACACGCGGAAUGAAAGUGAACGGAGGUGAGAGCCCUUGAGGGUGCAUCAUCGACCGAUCCUGAUGUCUUCGGAUGGAUUUGAGUAUGAGCAUAGCUGUUGGGACCCGAAAGAUGGUGAACUAUGCCUGAAUAGGGUGAAGCCAGAGGAAACUCUGGUGGAGGCUCGCAGCGGUUCUGACGUGCAAAUCGAUCGUCAAAUUUGGGUAUAGGGGCGAAAGACUAAUCGAACCAUCUAGUAGCUGGUCCUGC
rnacentral:rRNA from 1 species